GCCCGCCAUGGCGCCCGCCCUGUCACGUGCGCCCGCGGCCCCGCCCCGCGCCCGGAGCCGGCGGGCCCGGGGUCACUGAGGGGUUUGUCAGGAAAACACAGCAUAGGGACCGCGAAAUGCGGUCCGGUUCCUUUCUCCUUCUUCCCUUGUUCCUCCUUUGCCAUCAUGCUGAGAGCCAAAGCACAGGGCUACAAACAGAACAUCUCCUGGCUUGCCAUCCCCUUUGGUAGCUGAGGGUGGAGUGAGAAGUCCUAGCAAAACAGCACUAGACGCAGGACAGGAAGAGAAAAUAAGAUGAAGAAGCUCUUGGCUUGAGAUAAAGACAAGAUUACUCAGCCGCUACCACCAUGAGCAAAACAAAAUCCUUCUCAACCUGGGGAGAAUUCAUUUAAUUUAUUGCCCAUUAAAAAUGGAACAGGAUAAUGAGAAACAAAGACAAAACUAAAGCCACCUUCUUCCUGAAGUACUGCUUCAUUCCCCACUCUUCCACCCUGAAGAGCACAGUGGGAUGGGGGCUGUUACCAACUCAUAACACUGUACUUCUGCCACUCCUUCCUUUUCACUGCCCCAGCAUGUCUGGCCCACAGGAUACAGUUCUUCACAAACUGCUCCAGUGUGGUUGUCCCCACAAGGUACAGUGCUAAAAAAAUGGACUGUUCCACCAUGGGUCCCCCAGGAGCUGCAGCUCCUGCCACAAAACCAGCUUCUGUGUAGGCUCCUCUCCACAGGCUGCAGUUUCUGCCAGAAGCCUGCUCCAGAGGACCCUCCAUGAGCCGCAGCUUUCUUCAGGGCAGAUCCACCUCCUCUGUCAUGGGAUCCUCCAUGGGCUGCAGGGUGGAUCUGCCCCACUGUGGAUCUCCAUGGGCUCAAGGACAACCUGCUUAACCAUAACCUUCUCCACUGGCAUCAGGGGAAUCUCUGCUCCCAUGCCUAGCACACCUCCUCCCACGUCCUUCUUCACUGAUCUUGGUGUCUCUGAGGUUCUCUCAUACCUUUCCUCUUUACUGCCCUCCCUCUCACAGCUGUUACACUGUACUUUUAACCCUUUCUUAAAUGUUAUCACAGAAGCACCACUGGCAUCGCUCAGCUUUGGCAGCAGCUGGAAUUGGCUCCCUCUGACACAGGGGCAAGCUUCAGGUCUCUUCUUACAAGAGGCCAGCCCUGCAGUCUCCACCUUCCCCCAAACUUGUAAAUCCAAUACAACAGCUGCCAUCUGUGGUGCGUCAAUCAUUUCAAAGAACAGGCAAAAACAUG